UACGGAGGGUGCAAGCGUUAUCCGGAUUUACUGGGUUUAAAGGGUGUGUAGGCGGACCUUUAAGUCAGCGGUGAAGUCUCCGGGCUCAACCCGGAAACUGCCAUUGAUACUAUUGGUCUUGAAUGUUGUUGAGGUGGGCGGAACGGGUCAUGUAGCGGUGAAAUGCAUAGAUAUGACCCGGAACACCGAUUGCGUAGGCAGCCCACUAAGCAACGAUUGACGCUGAGGCACGGAAGCGUGGGGAUCAAACAGG
rnacentral:rRNA from 1 species